UACAGGGGGUGCAAACGUUGCUCGGAAUUAUUGGGCGUAAAGCGCGCGUAGGCGGCCACUUAAGUCGGAUGUGAAAGCCCCUGGCUCAACUGGGGAAGUGCACCCGAAACUGAAUGGCUUGAGUGCGAAAGAGGGUCGCGGAAUUCCCGGUGUAGAGGUGAAAUUCGUAGAUAUCAGGAGGAACACCAAUGGCGAAGGCAGCACUCUGGGACGUGACUGACGCUGAGACGCGAAAGCGUGGGGAGCAAACAGG
rnacentral:rRNA from 1 species